GUAUGUGAAUGGGUUCAUAUAUGAUGUUUACGCUACGAUGUAAUGCUUUCUAACAAUUUCUCAAUGCUUCAUCAAUUGAAUUUGGGCGUUUUACAGUUGUGUGCACAUAACUACUGCUCAAGAUAAUUAUUUGUCCGUGAUUGCUCUAUAUGCAUUUGUUGUGGGUUGUAGGAAAACAAGAUUGUAUGAUUAGUUAAGCAGAGGUUAUACCAGACGGGAGAGAUGUUUAUCUCUUCAACUGUUGUCCUGAGAUUCAAGAGGAAUGUACAAGGGACAGGGAGUAGUUGAUGGACUAUGUUGGAAUAUGUGUCCUUCAGAAUUAUAUUUGAGAAAGCGGUCAGCCAGGUACCGUAACAUGAAUCUUCAGUCAUUGGUAAAAAGUGUCCUUUUAGGAACAGGAACAAAAUCCUUUAUGUCAUUCUAUCGUCUGCAUAGUUUAGAGUAAAACAUUUGACCUGGGUGCUCCAUAUUUAGGUCCACUAUUGUUCCCAGAGAAGAUAUGUGCAGGGCCACCUACAGUAUCUUACAAAAGUGAGUAUACCCCUCAAAUGUUUCAAUAUUUUGGAAAUACUCAAAUAUUUACACAAAUGUGAGGGGUGUACUCACUUUGUGAGAUACUAUAUAUCUGAUGUUGAUUGAUUCAGUUUGCUUGUAUCAACCAACAAAUCACCUUGGUAUGAACCAACAAAUCACCACGGUAUCGACCGACAUGGCACACUGGACAUAGCACAUUGGUAUCAUAGCACAUUAGGGCCUAUUUACACUAUGAUAGUUUUACCUAGUUAAGAAUUUGCGUUGUCUAUAUAUUUUUUAUAAAUAUUCGAAGCAGGUGAACAUUUAAAAUGUCAGCUUGUCAAUGUCCGUGGUAUUCUUUCCCCAUAGAUACCACCCGUGGUUCAGUUCAGCAAGAGUAGAAUGAUCUGCUCAGUCCAUAUAGCAGACAGAGAGGACAUAGGAUGUCACAAGUUGCUUCCUUCUGACAUAAUUAGCUGGCUGGCCAACUUCAGAGAUGUUUAGAAAGAGCCACAUCCUGCACACCUUAACUCUCACUCACAUUGCUUCUAUAAACAUCCUGUUGUCGUCUUGUCAGCAUGUUUUCUAGGUAAUAACUUAUUUAGAUCAGCUGUGCACAUUGCCGCAGCUUGCAGGAAGAAACUGCUUAUUGGCAAAGACGAUGUUAGUUAGCCUAACUAGAUACAAAGGAAACAGCAGCUAGCAGGUAGCUAACCUUGUUAGUUCAAUGUUAUGUGAUCAGCACUGGUCAACAGCUUCCUGAGCCCUAUCCCUCUAAGGUUAAUAUGAGGUUUGACUGUCUGGCUCAGCUAUAUUGCAAUCUAGAAGGCUAUCCUAAUGACUGUUGUUAAAUGGAAAGAAAUCUGGCUCGUUGUUAACCCACAAAACGACACAGUUAUGCAAUGCCGUUUUGUACUUCUGUGUCAAAACAUAAGCGUCCAAGAACACUAUUUGGCAUGAAAGCAAUGACAAGAAACUGAUGUCAUUUUCAAUUUUAAGAUGGAUUUAGUAAUCCAUGUGACUAUAGUAAUUUGCUAUUUUAUUGAAAUUAAACUUCAGUUAAGUAACUAAACUGAAGAAAAGCAACUUGUUGACAGGGCAAGGCGCAGCUCCUGCACGGUUCUGAUCUGUAAGCUUUGUUGGUGUGACACGUUCCCAUUGCAAAUGUAAAUAGAAAAGUGUAUCGACAUUCUUUGUAAAUGUUCAUUAAUUGGAAUAUCAUUACGAAAACUGUUGUAAUUGUGAAUAGGCCCUUAGUAUAAACCAAAAUAGCACACUAGACAUAGCGCAUUGGUAUAUAUCGACAAAGCACCUUUCUAUCAACAAACAUAGCAUAUUAGACAGAGUACACUGGUAUCAUAUGACAUAGCACACUGGUAUCUGAAGAGAUAGCACACAGGUAUAAGAUGACAUAGCACACUGGUAUCAGAUGACAUAGCACACAGGUAUAAAAUGACAUAGCACACUGGUAUCAGAUGACAUAGCACACAGGUAUCAGGUGACAUAGCACACUGGUAUCAGGUGACAUAGCACACUGGUAUUAGGUGAUAUAACAUACUGGUAUCAGGUGACAUAACGCACUGGUAUCAACCGACAAUCCCUCUGGCAUGGGUAAUUGGUUUAACUGCACACUUAAUAGUGUGUAUCUGUCCCAAAAUACUGCCUAUUCCCUACAUACUGCAUUGUCUAUAGGCCCUCAGAAGUGCACUAUAGAAGAAAUAGGGUGCCAUUUGGCAUUUUCAAUUUCAAUACAAUGUGCUGUGGUUCCUCAAAAAAAUGAGUUUUCCCUGACUACUAUAUUUUACUGAAGACUACGAAUGUCUUACAACUACUCAAGUUCAUCAUGAAACUAAUUUGAGUUGCACUUUAUGUGAGACAACUUAUUGCCCAUUAUUGUGGCUGGAAAAACAUUAAAGACUGUUUGUAAAGUGAUUGCCACAUGGUCUCAAGGAUUCAUAUGUAAACACACCUUAAAGUGAUACAUUUUCAAUUUGAAAGAAGUACCUUAAAGUGUAUCAGCCAGGUAUUUUUAAAGUAUUUUCCAUUAGUCUUGAUGUACCAAAAUAUGUUUGAGGGCUUGAAAUUGAAAGACAUGGCUGAAGGCUACAUUACAUUACAGCAUGUUUAAUUUUAAGAUCUUUCUAAAUGUCUGUAGUCAUCAUUCAGGAAAGAAUAAACACCUGUUGGAGUACCCAACCUUGCAAGGAAAAUGGAGAAUAAAACAAAACGUUUUUAGAAGAAAUCAUUUACAAAGAUUACUGUUUAUGUUCCAGAGAUUAUAAAACCCUAUACAGUAGCUUUAUGCUGACAUCCAUUUUAGCUGUCAGAAAUGUGUAUAAAGAUGACAUAAUUCACAUCUGAAAGCUCUGCACUUUGACUGGAUGUCAAGGUUCAUCAUUUACGGUGUCUGCCAAGAUCAAAACAGCUAGUUGGGAGUUCAUGCUACCUGGAAUUGCUUUGUAAAACUAUAUGCUUCCCUUCCGCACUUUUAAACAGCAUGUUUCCUUCAGGAUACAAACCUAUAUUUUAUGCAUACCCUUUUCAAACCAACACACUACAAAGCCUGAAUGCCGGUCUGCUGACGCCAGGAUCCUAACUCCUCGUCACUCACUGUCACAUUAGAGUUGAGAGGGGAAACACACUGAGCCUUGGGCUGACACAUAACAUUACUGCAGAAUUGAAUCAGCUCCACUCAACGGAUCAAAGAGGUGUUUGAUAAGCAGAGUAGACCAGUGAAAUAUUGAUCAACAAGCAAAACCUUUAUCUACUUCCUACUAUGUUGUAUCUGUUGUACAAAUAGGAACAUUUCUGAUUCCUUAUAUACUUUCUCCAUCAGUGGCCAUCAGUGGUAUUUUGUUGAUAUAAAAUUAGUGGUAUUUAAUGGAUUAAAAUGACAUAUUUGCAGAAAAUACAUGGGUUCAAUUCAAAACCUAAUUGACUGCGUGGUGAUAUUGGAUAUCGAUCUGGUUCACAAGUGUUUCAAAUGGUGAUCUGCAUUAAUUACCAUGUUUUAAUUGAUUACUUAAGUCACCCAUUCAAAAG
ensembl:lncRNA